rnacentral:sRNA from 1 species
UAGUAUAUCAAUGGAUCUAGAUUUAAGU